AUUGAACGCUGUCGGCAGGCCUAACACAUGCAAGUCGAGCGGAGCGGCGGACGGGUGAGGAAUGCCUAGGAAUCUGCAUGGUAGUGGGGGAUAACAUCAGGAAACGGGCGCUAAUACCGCAUACUAUCAGAUGAGCCUAGGUCGGAUUAGCUAGUUGGGGGGGUAGAGGCCUACCAGGGCGACGAUCCGUAACUGGUCUGCGAGGAUGAUCAGUCACCCUGGAACUGAGACACGGUCCAGACUCCUCCGGGAGGCAGCAGUGGGUAAUAUUGGACAAUGGGCGAAAUCCUGAUCCAGCCAUGCCGCGUGUGUGAAGAAUGUCUUCGGAUUGUAAAGCACUUUAAGUUGGGAGGCGUUACCAACAGAAUAAGCACCGGCGAACUUCGUGCCAGCAGCCGCGGUAAUUC
rnacentral:rRNA from 1 species